CCAGCAGCUGCGGUAAUUCCAGCUUCAAUAGCGUAUAUUUAAGUUGUUGCAGUUGAAAAGCUCGUAGUUGGAUUUCGGGCGGGUGACGGCGGUCCGCCUCUGGUGUGCACUGCUGCUCAUCCGCCUUACUGUCGGGGACGGGCUCCUGGGCUUCACUGUCCGGGACCCGGGUUCGACAUGGUUACUUUGAGUAAAUUAGAGUGUUCAAAGCAGGCGUUCGCCCUGAAUACAUUAGCAUGGAAUAUCGCGAUAGGACUCUGGCCUAUCUCGUUGGUCUGUAGGACCGGAGUAAUGAUUAAGAGGGACAGUCGGGGGCAUUCGUAUUUCAUUGUCAGAGGUGAAAUUCUUGGAUUUAUGAAAGACGAACUUCUGCGAAAGCAUUUGCCAAGGAUGUUUUCAUUAAUCAAGAACGAAAGU
rnacentral:rRNA from 1 species